rnacentral:rRNA from 1 species
GAGCUUGCUCUUCUUGGAUGAGUUGCGAACGGGUGAGUAACGCGUAGGUAACCUGCCUUGUAGCGGGGGAUAACUAUUGGAAACGAUAGCUAAUACCGCAUAACAAUGGAUGACACAUGUCAUUUAUUUGAAAGGGGCAAUUGCUCCACUACAAGAUGGACCUGCGUUGUAUUAGCUAGUAGGUGAGGUAACGGCUCACCUAGGCGACGAUACAUAGCCGACCUGAGAGGGUGAUCGGCCACACUGGGACUGAGACACGGCCCAGACUCCUACGGGAGGCAGCAGUAGGGAAUCUUCGGCAAUGGGGGCAACCCUGACCGAGCAACGCCGCGUGAGUGAAGAAGGUUUUCGGAUCGUAAAGCUCUGUUGUAAGUCAAGAACGAGUGUGAGAGUGGAAAGUUCACACUGUGACGGUAGCUUACCAGAAAGGGACGGCUAACUACGUGCCAGCAGCCGCGGUAAUACGUAGGUCCCGAGCGUUGUCCGGAUUUAUUGGGCGUAAAGCGAGCGCAGGCGGUUUGAUAAGUCUGAAGUUAAAGGCUGUGGCUCAACCAUAGUUCGCUUUG